rnacentral:tRNA from 1 species
AAAUAAGAAACAAAAAUUUGUAUUUAGUUUCGACCUAAAAUUUUGAUGAUUCUAUUCAUCCUUAUUUA